rnacentral:rRNA from 2 species
GAGUUUGAUCCUGGUUCAGAGUGAACGCUGGCGGCGUGCUUAACACAUGCAAGUCGAACGAUGAAGCUCUAGCUUGCUAGAGUGGAUUAGUGGCGCACGGGUGAGUAAUGUAUAGCUAAUGUGCCCCUUAGAGGGGGAUAACAGUUGGAAACGACUGCUAAUACCCCAUACUCCUUCUUCCUAUAAGGGAAGUUGGGAAAGUUUUUUCGCUAAGGGAUCGGGCUAUAUGGUAUCAGCUUGUUGGUGAGGUAAUGGCUCACCAAGGCUAUGACGCCUAUCUGGUCUGAGAGGAUGAUCAGACACACUGGAACUGAGACACGGUCCAGACUCCUACGGGAGGCAGCAGUGGGGAAUAUUACACAAUGGAGGAAACUCUGAUGUAGCAACGCCGCGUGGAGGAUGACACAUUUCGGUGCGUAAACUCCUUUUAUAUGGGAAGAUAAUGACGGUACCAUAUGAAUAAGCACCGGCUAACUCCGUGCCAGCAGCCGCGGUAAUAC